CCUACAAGGCUGUCGACGGUCCUAAUACUGCAAGUCGACGAACUUCCGUUAAUUGAUUAUGACGUACUUGUACUGAUUGAGAUUUUAACACGAAGUGAGUGGCGAACGGGUGAGUAACACGUGGGUAACCUGCCCAGAAGUAGGGGAUAACACCUGGAAACAGAUGCUAAUACCGUAUAACAGAGAAAACCGCAUGGUUUUCUUUUAAAAGAUGGCUCUGCUAUCACUUCUGGAUGGACCCGCGGCGUAUUAGCUAGUUGGUGAGGUAAAGGCUCACCAAGGCAGUGAUACGUAGCCGACCUGAGAGGGUAAUCGGCCACAUUGGGACUGAGACACGGCCCAGACUCCUACGGGAGGCAGCAGUAGGGAAUCUUCCACAAUGGACGCAAGUCUGAUGGAGCAACGCCGCGUGAGUGAAGAAGGGUUUCGGCUCGUAAAGCUCUGUUGUUAAAGAAGAACGUGGGUAAGAGUAACUGUUUACCCAGUGACGGUAUUUAACCAGAAAGCCACGGCUAACUACGUGCCAGCAGCCGCGGUAAUACGUAGGUGGCAAGCGUUAUCCGGAUUUAUUGGGCGUAAAGCGAGCGCAGGCGGUCUUUUAAGUCUAAUGUGAAAGCCUUCGGCUCAACCGAAGAAGUGCAUUGGAAACUGGGAGACUUGAGUGCAGAAGAGGACAGUGGAACUCCAUGUGUAGCGGUGAAAUGCGUAGAUAUAUGGAAGAACACCAGUGGCGAAGGCGGCUGUCUGGUCUGCAACUGACGCUGAUGCUCGAAAGCAUGGGUAGCGAAACAGAUUAGAUACCCUGGUAGUCCAUGCCGUAAACGAUGAUUACUAAGUGUUGGAAGGAUUUCCCGCCAUUCAGUGCUGCAGCUAAACGCCAAUUAAGUAAUUCCCGCCUGGGGAGUACGACGCCAAGAUUUGUGAAAA
rnacentral:rRNA from 1 species